GACGAACGCUGGCGGCGUGCUUAACACAUGCAAGUCGAACGGAAAGGCCCUGCUUGCAGGGUGCUCGAGUGGCGAACGGGUGAGUAACACGUGGGUGAUCUGCCCCUUACUUUGGGAUAAGCCUGGGAAACUGGGUCUAAUACUGGAUAGGACCAUGCUGUAGGUGGUGUGGUGGAAAGAUUAGUUUCGGUAAGGGAUGAGCUCGCGGCCUAUCAGCUUGUUGGUGGGGUAAUGGCCUACCAAGGCGUCGACGGGUAGCCGGCCUGAGAGGGUGGACGGCCACAUUGGGACUGAGAUACGGCCCAGACUCCUACGGGGGCAGCAGUGGGGAAUAUUGCACAAUGGGCGCAAGCCUGAUGCAGCGACGCCGCGUGGGGGAUGACGGCCUUCGGGUUGUAAACUCCUUUCAGCCAUGACGAAGCCCUUGUGGUGACGGUAGUGGUAGAAGAAGCACCGGCUAACUACGUG
rnacentral:rRNA from 1 species